UCUAUAGAAUCAGCCUCUUUGUGCAUGUCCAGUCCUCACUGUUCCCUCACGCUCUACAGAAUAACCCUGUGUGUGCAGGAUCAGUCCUCAGUGUCAUCUCACACUCUAGAGAAUCAGCCUCUGUGUGCACGUUCAGUCCUCACUUUUCCCUCACACUCUAAAGAAUCACACUCUGUGUGCACGUUCAGUCCUCACUGUUCCCUCAAACCCUACAGAAUCAGCCUCUGUGUGCACGUUCAGUCCUGACUGUUCCCUCACACUAUACAAAAUAAGCCUAUAUGUGUAGGUUCAGUCCUCACUGUUCCCCCACACUAUACAGAAUAAGCCUCUGUGUGCAUUUUCAGUCCUCACUGUUCCCUCACACUCUACAAAAUUAGCCUAUGGUUGCACGUUCAAUCCUCACUAUUCCCUCACACUCUACAGAAUCAGCCUGUGUGCGCAUGUUUAGUCCUGAGUGUUCCCUCACACUCUACAAAAUAAGACUCUGUGUGCAGGUUUAGUCCUCAUGGUUCCCUCACACUCUACAGUAUUAGCCUCUGUGUGCACACUCAGUCCUCACUGUUCCCUCAAACUCUACAGAAUCAGCCUCUGUGUGCCCAUUCAGUCCUCACUGUUCCCUCACACUCUACAGAAUCAGCCUCUGUGUGCACGUUCAGUCCUCAAUGUUCCCUCACACACUACAGAAUCAGCCUCUGUGUGCAAGUUCAGUCCUCACUGUUCCCUCACACUCUACAGAAUUAGCUUCUGUGUGCUAGUUCAGUCCUCACUGUUCCCUCAAACUCUACAGAAUCAGAGACGGUGCAUGUUCAUUCCUCACUGUUCCCUCAAACUCUACAUAUUCAGGCUGUGUGUGUACGCUCAGUCCUCACUGUUCCCUCACACUCUACAGAAUAAGCCUCUGUGUGCACGUUCAGUCCUGUUACCUCACAUUGUACAGAAUGAGACUCUUGUGAGGUAACAGGGAGGACUCAAUGUGCACACAGAGGCUAAUUCUGUAGAGUGUGAGGGAACAGUGAGGACUGAACGUGCACACAGAGGCUGAUUCUUUUGGGUGUGAGGGAACAGUGAGGACUAAACAUGCACACAGAGGCUUAUUUUGUAUAGUGUGAGGUAACAGUGAGGACUGAACGUGCACACAGAGUGUGAUUCUUUAGAGUGUGAGGGAAAAGUGAGGACUGAACGUGCACACAGAUGCUGAUUCUCUAGAGUGUGAAAUGACACUGAGGACUGAUCCUGCACACACAGGGUUAUUCUGUACAGCGUGAGGGAACAGUGAGGACUGAACAUGCACACUGACGCUUAUUUUAUAUAGUGUGAGGUAACAGUGAGGACUGCACUUGCACACAGAGGCUGAUUCUAUAAAGUGUUAGGGAACAGUGAGGACUGAACUAGCACUAAGAGGCUGAAUCUGUGGAGUGUGAGGGAACAGUGAGGACUGAACUAGCACUCAGAGGCUGAAUCUGUGGAGUGUGAGGGAACAGUGAAGACUGAACCUGCACACAGAGACUGAUUCUGUAGAGUGUGAGGGAACAGUGAAGACUGAACCUGCACACAGAGGCUGAUUCUGUAGAGUGUGAGGGAACAGUGAGGACUGAAUGUGCACACAGAGGCUGAUUCUGUAGAAUGUGAGGGAACAGUGAGGACUGAACGUGCACACAGAGGCUGAAUCUGUGGAGUGUGAGGGAACAGUGAGGACUGAACCUGUACACAGAGGCUUAUUUUGUAGAGUGUCAGGGAACAGUCAGGACUUAACAUGCACACACAGGCUGAUUCUGUAGAGUGUGAGGGAACAGUGAGGACUACACAUGCACACAGAGGCUUAUUUUUUAGAGGGUGAGGGAACAGUGAGGACUGAACCUGCACACAGAGUCUCAUUCUCUUGUGUGUGAGGGAACAGAGGACUGAACGUGCACGCAGAGGCUUAUUCUGUAGAGUCUGAGUGAACAGUGAGGACUGAA
rnacentral:lncRNA from 13 species